rnacentral:rRNA from 1 species
CCCGCACAAGCGGUGGAGCAUGUGGUUUAAUUCGACGCUACGCGAAGACCUUACCUGGGCUUGACAUGUAAGUGGUAAGAACCGAAGGGGAUGACUUGGGGAAACUCCUUGAGCUUACACAGGUGCUGCAUGGCUGUCGUCAGCUCGUGCCGUGAGGUGUUGGGUUAAGUCCCGCAACGAGCGCAACCCUUAUCAUUAGUUGCUACGCAAGGGCACUCUAAUGAGACUGCCGGUGACAAACCGGAGGAAGGUGGGGAUGACGUCAAGUCCUCAUGGCCCUUAUGGGUAGGGCUUCACACGUCAUACAAUGGUCGGUACAGAGGGUUGCCAAGCCGCGAGGUGGAGCCAAUCCCAGAAAGCCGAUCGUAGUCCGGAUUGGAGUCUGCAACUCGACUCCAUGAAGGCGGAAUCGCUAGUAACCGCGAAUCAGCAGGUCGCGGUGAAUACGUUCCCGGGUCUU